rnacentral:tRNA from 1 species
GGAUAAGUACUCAAGAAGCUUAAGAAGAUAUGUUGGAGAAGUAUUAGGGGUUCAAAAAAACCCGCUCAGGUUCAAAUCCUGUCUGAUCCGCCA